rnacentral:lncRNA from 1 species
GGUAAUACAUAGUGUCAAGCAAGAUACUACAACAAAUAUUUAGCAACAUAGGAGGAGGUACUAUGGACAAAGAAGUGAAAAACUGCAAAACAUAAAAGGCUUUUAAUUAAGGAAACCCCGAUAUAGAUCACAAUGUUUCAAAGGAACUAAACCAACCACAACAUAUUUGCUGCAGAACACAAACUCUAGCAGUCUACUUGCCUCAGACCAAACCGGGCGUCGAAAUUGUCUUCUCUGACACCAGAAAAAUGUGAGUUGAAUUGGGAAUAGAACCACACAAAAAACAGAAAAAAUGGUCCAAACAAUCUGCAUCAGCAAGUCAGCAAAAUAGGAUAUAGCAGCAGACCUCUGAAAUGAAUAAAGUGCCGAUGUAAUGUACCACCAAGAAAAUUCUCUAAUUCCUAAACAAGAGUAGGACUCUCUUAAUGUUAUCUCUUGUACUCAUAACAAAGAGAAUAAACAUAUCAAAAGUUUUAAAAAGAAAGGUAACUAACCAUGAACAUAUAAAGAUAUAUCAUUUGUUAAGAGUUCAAUUUUUAAAGACACAUUGAAUUUAAAAUACCAAAAGCUUGUCUACAAAGAACCUAUUGCUAAUAUAACUAACUAUGCAAAAAAUAUCCAGCCUAAAAAACUGCAACAAAAUAUACUCAAAAUUGAACCUUAGGAUAGCUACAAACACUGUGCCAACCUAUAAAUUAUAACAAAAUAAAAAGACAAAAAUUGUGUUAGACUAACUUUGGGGAUGAUUCUAUAAAGAUUCUCUGCAUAAUUUUAAUUUUAAAUGUCUAAGAUUUAUAACAAUGUAAUAAAGUAACAAUAAAUUUCACUAAAUUGAAUCAAUGAUUGGGCAAAGAUUAAAAUUGAAUCAACAAAGUAUAUGAUACAAAAUGGCUAAAAAGAAAAAUUGAAGGCAGACCUGAAUUUGAAGUAGCAGCGCAGGCAAAAAACUUACAUAAACAAAACACACAAUGCCGCGUAACACACACUGACUGCCACAAAAAA